CAGAUAAGGAUUGUGGGUGGUAUCAUGGCUACAUGAUUGAUGAAUCUGACUCAGAAUAACAGCAACAUUACUUUUAUUCUUUCUCUGUGUUUUCCCCAGCACUGGGCUCAACUCCUGUGAUAUCUGUCAUGGGAUAUGGUGAUGGAGGCAUUCAACUACUCUGCCAGUCCUCAGGAUGGUUCCCCCAGCCUACAGUGAAAUGGAAAGGUCCAAAAGGACAAGUUUUAUCUUCGGGCUAUAAGGCAAAUUCAGACAGGAACAACCUAUUUAAUGUGGAAACCUCCUUUACAUUCCAAGAAAAUACUGGGAAUUUAUCAUGUUCCAUCCAGCUUGUUGAACACAGCAGAAAUUGUGCAGUCCAGAAAAGACUGGAAUGAUGUACUCAAAGGCCUGAAAGAAACUGCCAAUCCAACAAAGCUGUCAUUCAUCUCAAAACAAAGCUGAAAGAGUUUGUCAUCACUAAACAUACCUUACAAGAAAUGCUAAGAGGACCUGGGCAAGAUGUUUCAUAUUUGUAAUCCAGCUACUCUGGAGGCUAAGGAAGGAUUGCAAGUUCAAGGUUUGCCUAGGUAACUUUAACAGGGCCUGGUUUCAUGAUAAAAAAUUUUUAAAAUGACUUGGAAUCUAGAUCUUGAGACCUUGCUGAAAAACCUUUGUGUUCUAGUAGACAGUCUUUGGGUUUAAUCCCCAGUACUGUAAAAAAAAAGUCGUCUAUAAAAAGUAAAAAUAAAAAACUGUUAAAAAGAACAACUAAAUUAUGUUAAUAGAUACAAUAUAAGUCCAUGUAAAUUGUGAAAUAAAUAGCAUGUAAUGUCAGGAAAAAGGUAAAAAUGGAGCAUUCUUGCAUACAUGGGAAGUCAAUUGUUAUCAGCUUAAAAUAGACUGUUAUAUGCAUAAGAUAUUGUAUGUAAUUUUCUAGUUAACCACAAUUAAAAUACCUAUAGAAGAAAAAAACAAAUGAAUCAAAAUAGAUUAGUACCAGAAAACAUGUAAAAAAAGAAAAAGACAGGAAGAGGUGUGUGUAUACCAAAAGGCUAGCAUGUGGAAGGAUGGUGGCAAACUCUUCACAGGAACUUUGCAGAGAGAAACCAAAUCCAUCCUGUCCUGUGGAUACUUAGAAGGUGAAUAAAUUUCAGAAUGUUUGGGAGAUUAUUAUAAUUAAAAGCAAGAAUGGAGUUGUAUUUCUUCUCCAAGUUCCACUCUUUACCUUUCUCUCCCCACAAUAAAGAAUAAGAGGACACUAACCUGGCAACACAAAGUACAUCUUAAUAAAUUUAAGAAGAUUGAAAUUAUACUGAGUAGUUUCCCAUCACAAUGGAGUGAAAUUGUCAAUAACAGCAAGCUAAUUUGGAAAUUGACCAGUACAUGGAAUCCAAAUAGCAUAUUCCUGCAAAAUCACUGGGACAAAGAGAAACUUGAAAAGGAAUUUUAAAAUAUCUUGAGAUUAGCCAAAAGAAAGAAAGAGGAGGAGGAGAAG
rnacentral:lncRNA from 1 species